GUCCUAAGCAGAACAAUAAAGUAGAGGAAAUCAAUAAAAGGAAUCCAGAUUGGAAAGAAAAAGUGAAACCAUAUUUAAUCACGGAAGUUAUCAUUGUCUAUGUGGGAAAUUCCAUAGAAUGUAUAGAAAAGAUCCAAGAAAUAAUGGCUUCCAGCUCAUAUCUCCCUCUUCAACACAAGCAUACAAACUGGAAUUU